UACGAACUGUGCAAACGUUAUUCGGAAUCACUGGGCUUAAAGCGUGCGUAGACGGUUAUUUAAGUCGGGUGUGAAAGCCCCGGGCUCAACCUGGGAAUUGCAUUCGAGACUGAAUAGCUAGGGUACGGUAGAGGGAAGCGGAAUUUCCGGUGUAGCGGUGAAAUGCGUAGAUAUCGGAAGGAACAUCAGUGGCGAAAGCGGCUUCCUGGACCAGUACCGACGCUCAUGCACGAAAGCGUGGGGAGCAAACGGG
rnacentral:rRNA from 1 species